rnacentral:misc_RNA from 1 species
UGACACAUAAUGUUAUGUCAUUGUGAAAUGACUAAAUAUGCCAAAGUGACAAAAUCAAAACUGCUCAAAAUCAUAGAAUAUAAGUAAAAACUUAAAACCUUAAAAAAAUCGCUAAAAACUUCUUUCAACUUCAAGUAACAAAUUCAAACUUCGAAUCCAUGUUGAUAAGCUUAACUAAAGAAUAAUGGAAAUAACUAGAAAAAAUUUCCUUGGUGAACUGGAAAACAUACGGAAAAACAUCAAGCGUUCUAGCUUUAUAGGAUUUGAUGCCGAAUUUACUGCAAUAUUGGCUGGAGAAAAUUUCAAACACAGGCUGUUUGACACCAACGAAGAAAGGUAUGAUAAAAUAAAAAAUCUGGUUGGUAAAAUGCUGAUGACACAGGUCGGCUUAACCAUGUUUCAAUAUGAGCGAGACCUAGACAGCUAUGAAGCAGUGGGUUACACAUUUCAUUUAUGCCCACAAGUGUUUGCUGAUGUGGACCAAUCCUUCAUAUUCCAAGCCUCAACUUUGAAAUUUCUUUGUAAGCACAAUUUUGAUUUUAAUAAGUUUACGUACGAAGGACUUCCAUACUUAAGUAAAGCUGAGGAAGAAAAAAUAAGACAGCAGUUGAAAGAAAAACAGUUGUUUAGUAACUUGGCCCGUACAUUAGAAAUGGAUGAUGAAAAACAAUUGCAGCAUCACUGCUCUGAAGUAUCAAAAUGGUUGACAAAUAGUAAUGAAGGCACAAUGUACUUGGAUGUACAAGAUCCAAUUCUUAGGUAUAUGGUACACAAUGAGCUAAGGAUGCAUUUUGCUGAUAUUCUAACAACCGAUAGCUUAGGUAAUAGUAAUAAGGUUCUCAUAUACAGAGAUAAGUAUGUAGAGGGAGCAAACAGUGCUCCAAGGCAAAUACUUGAAGAUAACCUAAUGAAUUACCUUCUAGGAUUUUCACAAAUUAUAGACAUGUUGGAGACCUAUAAAAAGCCCAUUGUAGGUCAUAAUUUGUUUUUAGACACCAUUCUUCUGCACAGUCAGUUUAUAGGUCCAAUGCCAGAUAAAUAUACAACAUUUAAAAAAAAUAUUCACUCAUUAUUUCCGUUGAUUUUUGAUACAAAAUUCAUAUCUCAUGAAAUGGGUAAAAAACUGUCAUUUGACGAAGUUUGGAAAUCAAAUGCACUGCAAGACUUGUAUGAAUUCUUUUCUGAAGGAAAAUGCAAGAAGCUAGAAAACGGAGUUAACUUUAUUAGGCUGACUACGCCAUUUAAUGUGAAGCAGAGUUACCAUGAGGCAGGCUGGGACUCCUUUUGCUCAGGUUAUUGUUUCAUACGUUUGGGCCACUGGGCGGCCUGUGAACUGAUCGGAAAGUACCGACCGGUCGGACCCACGGAGAAAUUGUCCGCUUUGUCGCCAUAUUGCAAUAAAAUUAAUAUCAUUCGAGGAGCUAUGCUCUAUAUGAAUCUAGUCGACAACGACCCGCCAAAGCAUCGGCCAAACCUGCUCCAUAUAAAAUCUAUAAAGGAGAGCGCUAUAAACGUCGGAAAGGUGGCGUCAUCGCUGGCGAGUUUUGGCUCCGUGGACGUUAAACUUUACGGUAGGGGGACUGCACUAGUGGCGGCUAACUCGCAAUACACUGUCUUAUUUAUGAAGUUACUUGAAUAGAUUGACAUUUAAUUGGAUGUAUCAUCAACUUUAUGAUGAAUCUAUACUGGCUAAGCUCUUCCAGAUUUUUAUUGGAAUAGCUUUGUUUAAGUAUUUGAGUAUAAUCCAGCAACACGCGAAUAUAGAAGUGUAGAUAAAAUAUUGAAGCAAUUCAAAAACAGCCGAGACUACGCAAUAACUCCGUACAGCGCGAUCAGACACUCGGCCGCGGGGCGCAUGGCUUUAUG